AGGGAGAAUGAAUAAAGGGCGCGACGCUAAUCCCUGAAAGGAAAAGGGUGGGGAGAUGGUCUGAGGAUGAGGACAAGCGCCUCCUGGUAUCUGGCAAGAUUUUUAGGUCUGGCAGCUGGAAUAAGAUUGCUCAGUUUCUUCCUGGCCGCAAUCAAAGUCAAUGCAGCGAGAGGUGGUGUAAUGUUCUUGAUCCGGAUAUAGAUCAUGGGGAAUGGCGCCCUGAAGAGGAUUCCAAGUUAUUGGCUUCCGUCCAUGAGGUUGGUCCCUGGGCUAAGAUUGCUCGGGCUAUGAUUCCUCACCGUACUGAUAAUAAUUGCUUGAGAAUGAGAAAAGAGAGCAAAUCUAUGCCAUUGGGUUCAUUGACCCAUAUAUCCUUACUAAAAAAUUGAUAGAAGACCACCCCGAAGACUCAGAGAGGAACUUGCUAAUGUUUUUAAAGGCACAAAAUACUAAAACAGAAAUACUAUGACCUUACAAUUUCAAGGUUUGGAAACGGUUAAUCGAAGAGGUUAGGGGUGAAUGGAAACCAAAGCUAUGUUGGAAACCGGUCAAGAUAAUUAAUUAAGUACUACUAGCUAGUGCAUUAGCCAGAAACAUGGACUAGUUUAUGUGCAUACUACGUUUGCAAGAACAUUCGCAUAGCGACUGAAUGACACAGAGAUGAACAACAACGUUAGAUUUAAGAAAUGCGGCGGAAGCUCUUACGAGAGAACCGCAUACGAGCAAUUCAAGAGGAAAUUACAGAAUUUUUCCUUAAUGAGGUCAUACCUAAAAGCGGAGAAUACCAUUACAUGUAAUGAUCUUCACAUUGUAUAGGAGAAAUUGUAUAUACCAAAUUGUAUGUAUGUAUAUAUAUAUAUGUAUGUAUGGUCAUACGAGAAAUUAUAUUAUACUAGUAAAAGGCCCCGUGCGUUGUAACGGGAAAAAAUAAUACCACACAUUUUAAUUAAAGAAUUUAGAGAAAGAAAUUAAAGGAAA